AGUGAACGCUGGCGGUAGGCCUAACACAUGCAAGUCGAACGGCAGCACAGUAAGAGCUUGCUCUUACGGGUGGCGAGUGGCGGACGGGUGAGGAAUACAUCGGUAUCUACUUUUUCGUGGGGGAUAACGUAGGGAAACUUACGCUAAUACCGCAUACGACCUACGGGUGAAAGCAGGGGAUCUUCGGACCUUGCGCGAUUGAAUGAGCCGAUGUCGGAUUAGCUAGUUGGCGGGGUAAAGGCCCACCAAGGCGACGAUCCGUCGCUGGGCUGAGAGGAUGAUCAGCCACACUGGAGCUGAGACACGGUCCAGAACCCUACGGGAGGCAGCAGCGGGGAAUAUUGGACAAUGGGCGCAAGCCUGAUCCAGCCAUACCGCGUGGGUGAAGAAGGCCUUCGGGUUGUAAAGCCCUUUUGUUGGGAAAGAAAAGCAGCAGGUUAAUACCCCGCUGUUCUGACGGUACCCAAAGAAUAAGCACGGGCUAACUCCGU
rnacentral:rRNA from 1 species